rnacentral:tRNA from 1 species
GGCCCCAUAGCUUAGUCUGGUGGAGUGCCGCUCUUAUAAAGCGGUGGUCCCGGGUUCAAAUGCAAGCAAUCUAUGCAAGUUGGGCGG